GAUGAACGCUGGCGGCGUGCCUAAUACAUGCAAGUCGAGCGAACAGACGAGGAGCUUGCUCCUCUGACGUUAGCGGCGGACGGGUGAGUAACACGUGGAUAACCUACCUAUAAGACUGGGAUAACUUCGGGAAACCGGAGCUAAUACCGGAUAAUAUAUUGAACCGCAUGGUUCAAUAGUGAAAGACGGUUUUGCUGUCACUUAUAGAUGGAUCCGCGCCGCAUUAGCUAGUUGGUAAGGUAACGGCUUACCAAGGCAACGAAGCGUAGCCGACCUGAGAGGGUGAUCGGCCACACUGGAACUGAGCCACGGUCCCGACUCCUACGGGAGGCAGCAGUAGGGAAUCUUCCGCAAUGGGCGAAAGCUUGACGGAGCAACGCCGCGUGAGUGAUGAAGGUCUUCGGAUCGUAAAACUCUGUUAUUAGGGAAGAACAAAUGUGUAAGUAACUAUGCACGUCUUGACGGUACCUAAUCAGAAAGCCACGGCUAACUACGUG
rnacentral:rRNA from 1 species